rnacentral:rRNA from 1 species
GCUAAAAACCUAGCUCAAAUUUACGCAAAUGCCACAACCAAACAACUGUAACUAAACAAAACAUUUUUAAAUUUUUAGUAAAGGCGAUUGAAAAAUAUCUAGAAGCUAUAACAAUAGUACCGCAAGGGAAAAGUGAAAUAAAAGUGAAAUAACUUUAAAGCAAGACUAAGCAGAGAUUUAACCUCGUACCUUUUGCAUCAUGGUCUAGCUAGUUCAACCAAGCAAAACGCAAUUGUAGUUUGACACCCCGAAACUAGGUGAGCUACUUCAAAACAGCCUUUAAGGGCCAACCCGUCUCUGUUGCAAAAGAGUGGGAAGAUUUUCAAGUAGAGGUGACAGACCUACCGAACCUAGAGAUAGCUGGUUAUUCAGGAAAAGGAUUUAAGUCCUACCUUAAGUUUUUUUAUACUAUAAAAUAUAACAAUAAACUUAAGAGCUAUUCAAAUAAGGUACAGCCUAUUUGAAACAGGAAACAACCUUAAACACAGGGUAAUGAUAUCCUAAACGUGACCAAGUGGGCCUAAAAGCAGCCAACUUUUAAACAGCGUUAAAGCUUCAUCACUUUAUUUAACUAAUAACAUUAACAUUACAAAACCCUUCACCACUACUGAAUGACUCCAUAACCAUAUGGAGAACACUAUGCUAGAACUAGUAACAAGAAGAAGACCUCCUCCAAAAUGUAAGUGUAAGCCAAAAUGAACAACUCACUGGCACUUAUCGUCUCUGAACUUAAAGUAGUAACUUCACAAGAAAAUUCUACUCCCCAUAAACGUUAACCUUACACCAGAACAUUACCGGAAAGAUUAAAAAAAGAGGAAGGAACUCGGCAAAUUUUAACCCCGCCUGUUUACCAAAAACAUCG